UUGGUUAUUAGUUGAUUAGAGUUGAGCAUUUCUACUGGAUUGUGUGCUGGAGAAAUUUAAACAUGGGGCUGUUUUGUUAGGGGCCUAUAGAGUUGGAAGUUGAACAGCUGUUGCCUUACAUACUUUUGCUUUUAUAUUGAAAAUUUGAAAUCAGACUUGUCUUGAUUUUUUUGGUUGUUGUUGUUCUAAUAAACUGCUAUGUUCAGUUAAAAAAAAAUUAUUACUGGUUCCGGAGAAAUGGCUUAGUGCUUAAGAGUACUUGUCCUUAAAGAAGACCCAGGUUUGGCUCCCAGGACCCAUAUGGCACAUCACAACCAUGUUUCACUCCCAUUGCAAGGUAUCCAAGUCCCUCUCCUGACCCCUGUGGGUACCAGGCGCACACAUGUGAUACACAUGAAACAAACUGAUUGAAAAAUGAAAUUGUGAUUAGUUCUAUGUUCCCUUUGAACAUCUACGACCUCAUUGAAUCAACGUUUUCCACAACAAUUUGAGAAGUCCUCUUGUCUCCAUCAGUGUGGACACUUUGGAUAGCCUGUCAAAAGUGGGUAAGGACACAUCUGACAAUUACAGAAGACUCAUGCACAGCCUGAACAUCCCAUGUGUAGUUCAUCCAUUGUUUCAGCUGCAUGCUUGGUA
rnacentral:lncRNA from 1 species